UAAAAUCGAACACGCAUACCGUAGACAGUAGGUGCCGAAAGGCUUAAUUUCCUACCGAGGUGUUAUGAUAAAGCGUUUGUGUGCGGCCUUGGGUCGUACUAACGAACCAUCAUGGCCUUCGCUACUUAAUAGCGGAGGCUUUUCUCAUGCAUCG
rfam:Paenibacillus sp. Leaf72 contig_18, whole genome shotgun sequence.